rnacentral:rRNA from 1 species
UGGGGAAUAUUGCACAAUGGGGGAAACCCUGAUGCAGCGACGCCGCGUGAACGAAGAAGGAAUUCGUAUCGUAAAGUUCUGUCCUAUGGGAAGAUAAUGACAGUACCAUAGAAGAAAGCUCCGGCUAAAUACGUGCAAGCAGCCGCGGUAAUACGUAUGGAGCGAGCGUUGUCCGGAAUUAUUGGGCGUAAAGGGUACGCAGGCGGUUUAAUAAGUCGAAUGUUAAAGAUCGGGGCUCAACCCCGUAAAGCAUUGGAAACUGAUAAACUUGAGUAGUGGAGAGGAAAGUGGAAUUCCUAGUGUAGUGGUGAAAUACGUAGAUAUUAGGAGGAAUACCAGUAGCGAAGGCGACUUUCUGGACACAAACUGACGCUGAGGUACGAAAGCGUGGGGAGCAAACAGG